CAGCGAAGAAUGCAAAGGAGAGGAGAACUGUCAUUGUACUGCCAGCGCUCGCCUUCCGUGCCUCCUGCAAAGCUCGCUCUUCUCUUCUGACCUUUAAACUAGUUCUUUAUUUCAGCCCCACAAAAUGAUGCGCAUCCCCUACACAACCACAGGAUGAAGCACAUUGGAAAAGUAGAUUGCCAAAGAAUGCUUUCCAGCAAUGCUUACAUUGAAAGUCAUCCACAGAAAGAGGAGCGUCCAAAACCAACACCUAUAAGUGCUUUGUUAAGAACCAAGUGCAGCUGAAAGCCGGCAGGGGGUUAACAGAGGAGCGAUGAAGUCUCUAUUACAGCCCCUGUGUGUCUAAAUGGCCAUGACCAACUGGACAUGUGAACUUUCCAGUCUGAAUGGAGAAAAGGAAAAUGGGCAGUUUACACAGACAACUAGGGAGAAGGGAACCGAAACAAGUCUAAAACAGUUGAAGGGCUCCGAGCUUCCUGCUUUCAUCAUUGUUUCCCCAGUAAUUUUCGUGUACUUUAUUUGAAGGAAUGAAACAUUUAAUGAAUGAGCGAACGGAAUAACUAGCUACUUAACGGACACAUUUCUCUGGUUAUUUGGCUACUACAAGACUGCUCACAUCCACUUUAUUGUAUCUGUUCAGUAAGUUUUCCUAGAACCUCUAAACAUAAGGGAGUAUGUUCAAUCCAAACUUACACAAAAGAAUGUGAUGGACAUUAAAUAUAGUGCAAUAUCAAUACAUAUUUUUGCUCUUUAACAAAUUAUUUUUAUUAUUUUAUUUUUUAUUUUAUUAAUUUUUAUUUUAUUUUAUUUAUUAACACAAUUGUAUGUUAUUGCACCCGUCUUACAGAUGAAAAAAUUAAGUCACUUAAAGGCUCAUUACCCGAGAUCCAUGAUUAUUUCUAUAGCAGAAUAUGAACUUGAUCUUUAAGCCGUCUCUUAGUCACCCAUAUCUCACUGAACUAGGUUACUUUCAGCAAUGCUUAACUAUUAGGAUGUUGUGGGAGUAACUUCCGCUGCCUCCACCAAUAGUCGCUGAAAUACGAGCCCACAGUGCAGCGGGGAGCGACUUCUGCUCCGUCAGCCAAU